rnacentral:rRNA from 1 species
UCUUCCCUCUUUCUUCGUGCCUAAUACAUGCAAGUCGAGCGAACAGACGAGGAGCUUGCUCCUCUGACGUUAGCGGCGGACGGGUGAGUAACACGUGGAUAACCUACCUAUAAGACUGGGAUAACUUCGGGAAACCGGAGCUAAUACCGGAUAAUAUAUUGAACCGCAUGGUUCAAUAGUGAAAGACGGUUUUGCUGUCACUUAUAGAUGGAUCCGCGCCGCAUUAGCUAGUUGGUAAGGUAACGGCUUACCAAGGCAACGAUGCGUAGCCGACCUGAGAGGGUGAUCGGCCACACUGGAACUGAGACACGGUCCAGACUCCUACGGGAGGCAGCAGUAGGGAAUCUUCCGCAAUGGGCGAAAGCCUGCCGGAGCAACGCCGCGUGAGUGAUGAAGGUCUUCGGAUCGUAAAACUCUGUUAUUAGGGAAGAACAAAUGUGUAAGUAACUAUCCACGUCUUGACGUUACCUAAUCAGAAAGCCACGGCUAACUACGUG